GGAGGGCAAGUCUGGUGCCAGCAGCCGCGGUAAUUCCAGCUCCAAUAGCGUAUAUUAAAGUUGUUGUGGUUAAAAAGCUCGUAGUUGAACCUUGGGCCUGGCUGGCCGGUCCGCCUCGCCGCGUGUACUGGUCCGGCCGGGCCUUUCCCUCUGUGGAACCCCAUGCCCUUCACUGGGUGUGGCGGGGAAACAGGACUUUUACUGUGAAAAAAUUAGAGUGCUCCAGGCAGGCCUAUGCUCGAAUACAUUAGCAUGGAAUAAUAGAAUAGGACGUGUGGUUCUAUUUUGUUGGUUUCUAGGACCGCCGUAAUGAUUAAUAGGGACAGUCGGGGGCAUCAGUAUUCAAUUGUCAGAGGUGAAAUUCUUGGAUUUAUUGAAGACUAACUACUGCGAAAGCAUUUGCCAAGGAUGUUUUCAUUAAUCAGGAACGAAAGUUAGGGGAUCGAAGACGAUCAGAUACCGUCGUAGUCUUAACCAUAAACUAUGCCGACUAGGGAUCGGACGGUGUUAUUUCUUGACCCGUUCGGCACCUUACGGGAAAC
rnacentral:rRNA from 1 species